rnacentral:sRNA from 1 species
CUUUGCGAAAGGUCCUUGAGCUCCCAGUGCUCGCUCUCAUCUUACCUUGCACCACCUUCGACAUAAACUUACUCCACUUGUAUAUAAGCUUGCCUGAUCUUCCCAAGCGAAUAUACCUCUGUCCUAUACCAUAUGCCAACAGACAAGUGUCAAGAGGUAUAUCAUACAUAUAUCUCAUUGCUUAGUUAAACUACGGCUUUCUAUCUCGUCUCCAAGGCUGGACCUUGUUAGGGACGAGUCGUAACAACAUGAGUGAAAAAGAGUAUCCUCCAUAAGUGAAUUGGUACGAUGAAUACAAUAGCAGAACUUUGCAGGAGCGAAGAUAGAAGCAGGCCACUCGAAAGCUCCCACAGCAGAGCUCGAAUUGGACGCCUUUGCCUAAAAGUCAGUGUAUGUUCCCCAUAGCCAGAUACAAAUAUGAUAACUUUCGAGCCAUAACCCGACAGAAGAGCUUGAAUGUCUGAUGCAUUUAGUCCAUUGUCAGCGGCACAUCGAGAGCACGUUGUUCAAACUGCUUGAAUUCUUCGCUCAAGCACAAGCUGCAGUAAAGGACCAGUGUUAUCGUCCGUCGCAAGCGUCAUCGCGGAAGAUGGUCGGGAAAGAAGGUUAUGUUUAAUUGACAUCGAUCGGUUUCGAAGGGAUUCAAGGAAGGGAGAUGAGUUUCAGGUGAGGCUGCUGUGAUAUCAGGCCUGGAACGACCUAAAGAAUGAGGGAUUUUGGGCAGAUGAGGCGAUACUUGUCGUAGGUUGUAUAGCAGGUAUGUUGCGCACUAGGACCCGUGAAGAUGAAUUCUCG